rnacentral:rRNA from 1 species
CCUACGGGUGGCAGCAGUGUGGAAUAUUGGUCAAUGGGCUUACGCCUGAACCAGCCAAGUCGCGUGAGGGAAGACUCCCCUAUGGGUUGUAAACCUCUUUUGUCAGGGAGCAACGCCGGCUACGUGUAGCCGGACUGAGAGUACCUGAAGAAAAAGCAUCGGCUAACUCCGUGCCAGCAGCCGCGGUAAUACGGAGGAUGCGAGCGUUAUCCGGAUUUACUGGGUGUAAAGGGCGUGUAGCCGGGAAGGCAAGUCAGAUGUGAAAUCCGGAGGCUCAACCUCCGAAUUGCAUUUGAUACUGUUUUUCUUGAGUACUGGAGAGGCAGACGGAAUUCCUUGUGUAGCGGUGAAAUGCGUAGAUAUAAGGAGGAACACCAGUGGCGAAGGCGGUCUGCUGGACAGCAACUGACGGUGAGGCGCGAAAGCGUGGGGAGCAAACAGGAUUAGAUACCCCUGUAGUC